UCUCACACCGAGCAGGUAGGAGAGAGCUCUGCUGUUAGUGAGGCUAGCUGCCUGCGAAGAGGGUCAGUUUGUCUCAGUCACCAUCUGAUACUGACGGAGGAUGGAUGUGCUCCCCAAAGCAUAGUCCUCCGUGAAGCGUCUUCUGGUGACUGGACGGGUUUUUUUGUGGAGGGGCUGGGAAUCGAAUCCAUGACCUUCCGCUUAUGAAGCGAAAGCGUAACCUCAAGGCUACAUAACUAUAGAUUUUAUUCAUUUAUAAAGUUCCAGUUCUUAUUUUUCUCCGUCAGAAUUGGGAAACAUAGCUAUCGAUAAAAAUUCUUUUCCAAAAAGAGGCAUUUUCUCAAUCUUUGACUCACACUGACAAUGUUGUUCAGAUUUUCAACUUUGGACUUUUUCAUAGGUUAGUCGAUAUUUUUUGUCAGCCAUCACCAUUUGUUAUUUGGAUUCAUUUGAAGCUUUAAUUUUGAUUAAAAAGACGUAGUGAAACGGUGAAAAUAAUCUUGAAAUAAAACCUCAGCGGGCAGCAGACCAGGCAAAAGGAUCCUACUGCAGUACAAUAUGUGACUACCGAAAAAUUGUACUUCUGCCGUAGGUUUGGAGUGUCCAGUCUAGUUUCCAGAAAAGUGCAGUGUGUGCCGUUAAAUCCUGCGGUUUUCGACGAUCGUGCUAAGAAUAAUAAUUUGAAUGGAUUUCGCUUGGUUCGCAACAAAAGAUGAGGGAACACGACCGCAUCUGUGCAUUUCCAGUUUUUCAUAAAACUAAAUGAGCAAAGUAUACGUAUUUGCUUUAUAAUUAUACGUCAAACUAAAUUAAUUAUGAUAAUAAAAUAAACUUUACAUGCA